rnacentral:lncRNA from 1 species
AUGGGUGCCUGGCCCUCGCCUCUGCUCUGGAGCUUGGCCACGGCGUGUCUGACAGGUAUUGCUUUAGGCCAGCUGACCACUACCCCAGCCCCGAUUGCAUCAACCCCACUGCCUCCCAGUGCCACCACGACCUCUGCCUCCACACCCCCAGCUGCUGGGGGGGUGGCCACCACCGCAGACCUCGGCACGGCCACAGCUGUGCCAUCGGCAGACCCCAGCACAAACACAUUUGCUCCAGCUCUGCCCACCACCCUGCCGGUGACUGCGACCAUCCCUGGGAUCACGACCACCUCUCACGCACCCACAGCCGCAUCCACCGGUGCCUCGGCCACCCCUCCAGAUGUCACCACGUCUCCUGGGGAUCCACCAACAGCUCCGUCCCUCACCACCGCUGUGCCCUCCAACUGCAGCAGAGUGAACGUGACAGCGUGUGCCCCUUGCUCCCCAGGGACGUUUCCCAAUGAUGAUGCCUGGAGUUGCUCGUGCUGCACAGGAGGCUCGUGCACGGACCCUGGUGCCUGCACUCCCUGCCCAGUGGGGCACUACCAGCCCGCGUGGGGACAGCAGCAGUGCCUGCCGUGUCCGCGGGGACACUACGCCAAGUAGGUGACCCAGGGUGGUGGAGGUGGCUGGUGGCACAGAGCAGGGACCUUCUCCCUCAAAACCCUUCCCAGUCUCACAGAACUCUUCCCAUGGGCUAUGGGAAAGUGCUCCCAGUUUUUUUUUUUCCCAGGGGACCUGCUCAGUGCUGCUAAAUCUUUCUCGCCAGGAGCCUCUGGUGGUGUUGUGCUUGUGCUGAGGGCUUCUCGGUGUCCAGCUCUCUGGUGGCCCCUCAUGUUUCAGACGUGUUAUAGGGGGAACGGAGAUCUGCCAUGAAUUAGGGACAGCGUUUGGGACUGAGGUGGGGGGAUCUUCAGCAUGGACGUGGUGCUUUUCUCCUGGGUGCCUCAAGCAAACAGCUUCGUUCCUGCAUUUUGCACAACUCCUUCCUCACACUACGUUUCCCUUCCUCCAAGGGAUCUCAUAACAGGCCUGGUGCCUGGCCCUCUGCUGCGGCCUGGCCUGUGGCCACUUCUAGCCCCUCGGGGCUCCAGGUGGCCUGCAGGGAGCGGUUCUGUCCCAGGCCUUUGGAAAGGAGGAAAAAGGCUGAAAGGAGGGAGCAGGGAGAAAGAGCCAUGGCAGCCCCAGUGGCAUUGCUUCCAGUUUUUGUGGUACUGGGACUUCUCCCACUGCCCCCGGGCCAUGAGCAGCUCCAGCUGAUGCAGAGCCCUGUGUUGGCUUGGUUUAAGCCAAGUAUUUGCUUUCUUUUUUUCCUCCACAAAUCUUGCUCAGCCCUGGGGUUUCCAAAGGGAUUAAAGAGCGUGUCCUUGUUUUCCUCCAAAUCAUCCCUGCAUGUGUUAACAAAUUCUUAAGCCCACAUGCUCAUUGUUGGGGAUUUGGCUCUGUAAUGCAUGCACCAGAUUUCCUCCUUCUCUGCCUUUCCAUUUUCUUUCCCAUCCUCCCAGAGGCCUGACGCGUUACAUCCCCGUUCCCACAGUCCCUGUUGUUUAAGGUCAGGACUCCCACACACCAGUGCCUGCGGCUGAGCUCCCUUUUCGACUCUGUG